rnacentral:rRNA from 1 species
UCUAAUACCGGAUGACAUCCUCUCUCGCAUGGGAGAGGGUUGAAAGCUCCGGCGGUGCAGGAUGAGCCCGCGGCCUAUCAGCUAGUUGGUGAGGUAGAAGCUCACCAAGGCGACGACGGG